AGAACGAACGCUGGCGGCAUGCCUAACGCAUGCAAGUCGAACGAGACCUUCGGGUCUAGUGGCGCACGGGUGCGUAACGCGUGGGAAUCUGCCCUUCGGUUCGGAAUAACUCGGAGAAAUCCGUGCUAAUACCGGAUAAUGACGUAAGUCCAAAAGAUUUAUCGCCGAGGGAUGAGCCCGCGUAGGAUUAGCUUGUUGGUGAGGUAAAGGCUCACCAAGGCGACGAUCCUUAGCUGGUCUGAGAGGAUGAUCAGCCACACUGGGACUGAGACACGGCCCAGACUCUACGGGAGGCAGCAGUGGGGAAUAUUGGACAAGUGGGACGAAAGCCUAGGAUCCAGCAAUCGCGCGUGAGUGAUAGAAGGCCGUUAAGGGUUGUAAAGCUUACGUUUUAACCCGGGUAUUGAAUAAUGAACGAAGUACCGGAGUAAUAAGCGUCCGGACUAACGUCCGUGCCACGACGACGCCGAC
rnacentral:rRNA from 1 species